AUUGAACGCUGGCGGCAGGCCUAACACAUGCAAGUCGAGCGGAUGAAGGGAGCUUGCUCCUGGAUUCAGCGGCGGACGGGUGAGUAAUGCCUAGGAAUCUGCCUGGUAGUGGGGGAUAACGUCCGGAAACGGGCGCUAAUACCGCAUACGUCCUGAGGGAGAAAGUGGGGGAUCUUCGGACCUCACGCCAUCAGAUGAGCCUAGGUCGGAUUAGCUAGUUGGUGGGGUAAAGGCCUACCAAGGCGACGAUCCGUAACUGGUCUGAGAGGAUGAUCAGUCACACUGGAACUGAGACACGGUCCAGACUCCUACGGGGGGCAGCAGUGGGGAAUAUUGGACGAUGGACGAAAGCCUGAUCCAGCCAUGCCGCGUGUGUGAAGAAGGUCUUCGGAUUGUAAAGCACUUUAAGUUGGGAGGAAGGGCAGUAAGUUAAUACCUUGCUGUUUUGACGUUACCAACAGAAUAAGCACCGGCUAACUUCGUG
rnacentral:rRNA from 1 species